rnacentral:rRNA from 1 species
CGCUCCUUGUUAUAUCAAAUAUAAGGAGUCGAACCUGCCCAGUGAGAUUUUUAACGGCCGCGGUACUCUGACCGUGCAAAGGUAGCAUAAUCAUUUGCCUUAUAAUUGAAGGCUUGUAUGAAUGGUUUGACGAAAUCGAUACUGUCUCUUUUUUAUUUUAUAGAAUUUGACUUAAGGGUGAAGAGGCUCUUAUUUUACUGAAGGACAAGAAGACCCUGUCGAGCUUAAAAAAUAAAUGGAGAAUUAAUAUAAAAUUAAAUAAAUAAAAUACCAAAUAAUUUUUUUGGUUGGGGCGACUGAGGAACAAAAAAAGCUUCCUCUAAUUUUUUAUGUCUUACGAGCUAGAGAUCCAGUUAUACUGAUUACAGGAAUUAGUUACCGCAGGGAUAACAGCAUAAUCUCUCUUAAGAGACCAUAUCGAAAGGGGGGGUUGUGACCUCGAUGUUGGACUAGGGUAUCCUAAAGAUGUAGAAGUCUUUAAAGGUUGGUCUGUUCGACCAUUAAAAUCCU